rnacentral:rRNA from 1 species
UACAGAGGUCUCAAGCGUUGUUCGGAAUCACUGGGCGUAAAGGGUGCGUAGGCCGCACGGUAAGUCAGAGGUGAAAUCCCGGAGCUCAACUUCGGAAUUGCCUCCGAUACUGCCGUGCUUGAGGACUGGAGAGGAGAUUGGAAUUCACAGUGGAGCAGUGAAAUGCGUAGAUAUCAGGAGGAACACCAAUGGCGAAGGCAGCUCGCUGGGACGGUACUGACGCUGAGACGCGAAAGCGUGGGGAGCAAACAGG